rnacentral:rRNA from 1 species
AACGAACGCUGGCGGCAUGCCUAACACAUGCAAGUCGAACGAUGGCUUCGGCCAUAGUGGCGCACGGGUGAGUAACGCGUGGGAACCUGCCUUUGGUUUGGGAUAACUCCGGGAAACUGGAGCUAAUACCGGAUGAGCCCGAGCAAUCGGGGAAAGAUUUAUCGCCAAAAGAGGGCCCGCGUCCGAUUAGGUAGUUGGUGGGGGUAAUGGCCUACCAAGCCUACGAUCGGUAGCUGGUCUGAGAGGAUGAUCAGCCACACUGGGACUGAGACACGGCCCAGACUCCUACGGGAGGCAGCAGUGGGGAAUAUUGGACAAUGGGCGAAAGCCUGAUCCAGCAAUGCCGCGUGAGUGAUGAAGGCCUUAGGGUGUAAAGCUCUUUACCCGGGAUGAUAAUGACAGUACC